GAUGAACGCUGGCGGCGUGCCUAAUACAUGCAAGUCGAGCGAAUGGAUUAAGAGCUUGCUCUUAUGAAGUUAGCGGCGGACGGGUGAGUAACACGUGGGUAACCUGCCCAUAAGACUGGGAUAACUCCGGGAAACCGGGGCUAAUACCGGAUAACAUUUUGAACCGCAUGGUUCGAAAUUGAAAGGCGGCUUCGGCUGUCACUUAUGGAUGGACCCGCGUCGCAUUAGCUAGUUGGUGAGGUAACGGCUCACCAAGGCAACGAUGCGUAGCCGACCUGAGAGGGUGAUCGACCGCAGUGGGACUGAGACACGGCCCAGACUCCUACGGGAGGCAGCAGUAGGGAAUCUUCCGCAAUGGACGAAAGUCUGACGGAGCAACGCCGCGUGAGUGAUGAAGGGUUUCGGGUCGUAAAACUCUGUUGUUAGGGAAGAACAAGUGCUAGUUGAAUAAGCUGGCACCUUGACGGUACCUAACCAGAAAGCCACGGCUAACUACGUGCCAGCAGCCGCGGUAA
rnacentral:rRNA from 1 species